rnacentral:tRNA from 1 species
GGAGGGGUCGCAUAGUGGUCUAGUGCGGGCGCCUGCUAAGCGCUUGCCCUGCGAAAGCGGGGUCGUGGGUUCGAAUCCCACUCCCUCCGCCA